AUUCCUACGGGAGGCAGCAGUAAGGAAUAUUGGUCAAUGGACGAAAGUCUGAACCAGCCAUGCCGCGUGAAGGAUGAAGGCCCUCUGGGUUGUAAACUUCUUUUAUAGGGGACGAAAAAAGGGAAUUCCUUCCCACUUGACGGUACCCUAGGAAUAAGCACCGGCUAACUCCGUGCCAGCAGCCGCGGUAAUACGGAGGGUGCAAGCGUUAUCCGGAUUCACUGGGUUUAAAGGGUGCGUAGGUGGGCAGUUAAGUCAGUGGUGAAAUCUCCGGGCUUAACCCGGAAACUGCCAUUGAUACUAUCUGUCUUGAAUAUCCUGGAGGUGAGCGGAAUAUGUCAUGUAGCGGUGAAAUGCUUAGAUAUGACAUAGAACACCGAUUGCGAAGGCAGCUCGCUACGGGAUUAUUGACACUGAGGCACGAAAGCGUGGGGAUCAAACAGGAUUAGAUACCCUGGUAGUCCACGCCCUAAACGAUGGAUACUCGACAUCAGCGAUACACUGUUGGUGUCUGAGCGAAAGCAUUAAGUAUCCCACCUGGGAAGUACGACCACAAGGUUGAAACUCAAAUGAAUUGACGG
rnacentral:rRNA from 1 species